UGGGGAAUUUUGGACAAUGGGGGAAACCCUGAUCCAGCCAUCCCGCGUGUGCGAUGAAGGCCUUCGGGUUGUAAAGCACUUUUGGCAGGAAAGAAACGUCGCGGGUUAAUACCCCGCGAAACUGACGGUACCUGCAGAAUAAGCACCGGCUAACUACGUGCCAGCAGCCGCGGUAAUACGUAGGGUGCAAGCGUUAAUCGGAAUUACUGGGCGUAAAGCGUGCGCAGGCGGUUCGGAAAGAAAGAUGUGAAAUCCCAGAGCUUAACUUUGGAACUGCAUUUUUUAACUACCGGGCUAGAGUGUGUCAGGAGGGAGGUGGAAUUCCGCGUGUAGCAGUGAAAUGCGUAGAUAUGCGGAGGAACACCGAUGGCGAAGGCAGCCUCCUGGGAUAACACUGACGCUCAUGCACGAAAGCGUGGGGAGCAAACAGGAUUAGAUACCCCUGGUAGUCCACGCCCUAAACGAUGUCAACUAGCUGUUGGGGGCCUUCGGGCCUUGGUAGCGCAGCUAACGCGUGAAGUUGACCGCCUGGGGAGUACGGUCGCAAGAUUAAAACUCAAAUGAAUUGACGGGGGUCAUAGCUG
rnacentral:rRNA from 1 species